GUGAGGAGUGCCUCUGCCCGGCAGCCACCCCAUCUGGGAAGUGGGGAGCCCCUCUGCCCGGCCGCCCCGUAUGGAAAGUGAGAAGUGCCUUUGCCCGACCGCGACCCGGUCUGGGAACUGAGGAGUGCCUCGGCCCGGCAGCCGCCACGUCUGGGAGGUGUACCCAACAGCUCAUUGAGAACGGGCCAUGAUGAUGAUGGCGGUUUUGUCAAAUAGAAAAGGGGGAGAUGUGGGGAAAAGAAAGAGAGAUCAGAUUGUUACUGUGUCUGUGUAGAAAGAAGUAGACAUAGGAGACUCCAUUUUGUUCUGUACUAAGAAAAAUUCUUCUGCCUUGGGAUGCUGUUAAUCUAUAACCUUACCCCCAACCCCGUGCUCUCUGAAACAUGUGCUGUGUCAACUCAGGGUUAAAUGGAUUAAGGGCGGUGCAAGAUGUGCUUUGUUAAACAGAUGCUUGAAGGCAGCAUGCUCCUUAAGAGUCAUCACCACUCCCUAAUCUCAAGUACCCAGGGACACAAACACUGCGGAAGGCGGCAGGGUCCUCUGCCUAGGAAAACCAGAGACCUUUGUUUGCGUGUUUAUCUGCUGACCUUCUCUCCAUUAUUGUCCUAUGACCCUGCCAAAUCCCCCUCUCCGAGAAACACCCAAGAAUGAUCAAUAAAUACUAAAAAAAAAAAAUUACAAUCAAUCUCUCACCUGGAGAAUUCCCUCAGUGAUUAUGAGUUCAUCCAGUUGCCAUCUGUUGGAAAUCUUGACCAGUGAAAGGAUAGCUUGAAAUCACACACAAAGUGUGACUGAACAAAAGUGCUAGGUCAGAGUCUGGAAAGUUAAGUAAAAGAUAACUCCCUGAGGAAGGUGGUUCUGAGUAGAGCAGAUUCUAGAAUUAUCAUAUGAGUACUGUUCUUUAGAAAGGAGGAUGGCUUGCCUGUCCAUGAGGCUUGUAUGUACAAUUCUGGAAGUUCUGUGGUCAAAAGGAGCCUUCUGGCUAUUGACCUGAGAAUUUAGGAUUAUGAAGUCAGGUUUAGUUAUACUUAGAGGGUAGAACUAAAAUAUGUUGUUCAGGAAUAUAUGUACAUCUUUAAUAAUCAUGUUUUUAUCACAACUGAGGAAGAAGUGUAUUAUCUUAGUUCUGUAUAAAUUACCUUGAAGAUAGUAGCAUGUUGUUGGAACACAGAAAUUUCUGCAAUAAAAUCUCAAAAAGGCAUUUUACUUUCUCAGCUCAGAUUUUGACCUGAAUAUACAAACUUGUAAGAAUUGUUGUCACUCUAUUUGCUGAUAAGAGCAUGUAGAAUCUUGAAGGUGAAGGUAAAAUGACUUGAAGAUGAGACUGUUGCCCCAAAUAAUUAGAGAGAGCAGAUAAAAUAAAAUAAGUGGCCAUCAAAAUAGCUAUAUUUUAGAGAAAUUGUGAAAUCUACAUGACACUACAAAGAAUUGUACCAUCUGCAGUUAAUUAUGUCAAGCAGAUACAGCUAUAAAUUGUUAUCCACGUUUUUGAAGAGAACUUGUGUUCUUGCUUGUCUCACUGAUGAAUAAUUUGCCUUGACCUUAUUGCUUGACUUGUGGCUGCCCACCAGUUACACACCCAUUGCUUCUUCUGAUUUCUGGCCUCUCCAGUGGUGAGCUUCCUCUCUGGGGCUCACACGCCUUUCUUGGCCUUGGCCUUGGAUCUCCAGGUUCUAGCUUUUGGUGCUAAUGUCUCCACAUCACAUUCCACACCUCUGCAAACAGCACGGUGACUUAUGGCUUAUGGAGAACCACCUUCACGUCCAAGCCAUCAAAUGAACCAUGGCUUAAUUCAUGUCUUACCUGUAAGAUUUGGACUUUCUUUGGAAUAGGAAGAAACUUUUGCUUAAGGACAAUGGAAACAGCAUUGCCUCCCUCUCUCCCUGCUACACAUGAUACUGGGGUGCAGUAUCCAGAUCUAUUGAGAUUCUUGCCACAAGGCAAGGCAGCCAGAGGGAAGGAACAUUUCUUCCUCUGAAUUCAGAGCACACAAGCUUUAAUUCUGCUGGAGAUUGGUAGGCCAAAAAGGCUGGAGUACAAUGGCAUGAUCUCGGCUCACUGCAACCUCUGACUCCCGGGUUCAAGCGAUUCUCCUGCCUUAGCCUCCCAACCAUCUGGAAUUACAGGAAAUUCUUGAUAAAAAUUACAGCCUGAUCUCAGUUGUGCAACAGGAAUUUUGAAGAGCAGCCACCCUCCCUGAAGCCAUCUAGGGAACACCAGCAGAAUCACACUGGAGGACUGGUGUCCACAGAAGGCCACAAGCUUGUGAAGGUCAACUCAGCUGUGGCAGCUGAGCAACUGUCGGGCAAGUCUGCUGGAAUCUGAAAACCCAGAGACAUUUGUCCUGGGGGAUAUAUGGUAUGGUUCCCUUGGGUUCUCAGAAAUGACUGAGAUGACAUUUUGAGAGAAGCUAAGUUUUGGAAAUUAGGCCAGAGACUUAUGCCAAAAUUGUGGAUAAAGAGGAAGUUCCUGUUUGGGUUGUAGUGACAGGCUGUUGAGACUGGUGAAGUAAGCAUCACACUCAAUUUACCCCACACUAUGAGGAGCAAAAGAGUUCUUAAAAAGACAGAGAGGCAUAGCCUCAUCAUCAGAGCUCUUUAGGGAAACUGGGGAUUACCUCUAUAUGUCAGAUUUUCAAAUUAGCGUUGCACACCAGAGACCUCUUCAGGUGAGGUGAACUUGUAAAAAUACCUGAGAAUGGUUGUGAAACUGUAGUGUGCUGCUGCUGUGACUUCUGUUUUAUUUUUUUCAUUUCAUUUACUUUUCUAUAUACGAGUGUGUGUGUUUGUGCACACACACAGAGUAUAUAUAAGACAUAGAUACUUAUAGUACAUAGAAAUGUAUUUGUAUAAAUACAUGUAUGAUGUUGAAAGUUUGAGAUUCUUUGUUUUUUGAUAAAAACUAGUUAAAAUUGUUAUUAAGAUCUGAAAAUUAAUUCAGUCAGUUUUAAGAGACAUAGAAAUUCAGAGCAGCAAUCCCUGUUUGGUAAAUGCUUCUGUGGGGGACAACAUUCUCCACUAAGGUAAUUUUGAGCCACAAUCUUAAAUCAAACCACGAAAGAUAGAAAUUAUUUCCUUGGAAUAAGCUGUGAACAGUAUUACCUAAGGCUUUGGAUAAUUUCAAAUGAAAUGCUGAAUUUAGUAUAUUGAAUGACACAGCAUCUUUAUUUUAAAAUGGAACAAGUCAAUAAGGUAUUUACAGGAACACACAGCUUGAAUAAUAAAAUGUGUGUGAAUAGAUCUUAAUAAUUCAUUCCAUGUGCUGAUGCAAUUUGAUACAAACUCAAGCGUUUUAAUAAGAACUGUAAGCUGUUUUUUGAAAUUAUGUAUUGGAUUAGAGAGAGAGAGAGAACAGACCAAUUAAGCAACGAAAAAGAAGCGGGGAAUUGCUAAUGCUGAAUGAGUAGGAGCCAUCUGGAACUAUAAAGCGUCCCCAACAACCUACAGCUUCCCACACAGAUCGUAACCUCCUCCUCCGAUACCCGCCCCCACUACUUUGUGUAGGAGUUUAUCUUUUCCAGCUAUCACUAUGGGUAGGGUAAAAACUACUUUUAUAAAAAUUACCUUCAUGGUUACUGAAAGCUGAAGAGGAAUACUUCACUAACCAUGGGUCAUGACUCAUAGCGUAAAUACUUAUCUAGUAAGCAUUUAUAAUAUUUCUUUGGUGCUAAUUUUCUCAUUGAAUAAAGUUUGCUUUCAUUUUGUUUCAUCCACAUCAUAGCGGCACUUUCUGGCUGAGCUGCUUAACCCUCUGAAUUCAACUAUUUGCAGAGGCAUAAAGAAUUUUGAUGACUAUUUCAUUAUGCUUCCUCUAAAAAUAUGUUUUAAAGUCUCUAAAGAUUGUUGACUGUGUGCAAAACACUCUAAAGCUUGUUUCAAAGUAACAUAAAGCAUUUAGAUGAGAAAAGGGAAUAUACACAAUCCACUUCAGCUACACAUAAACUGGUUCAUGUGUUAAGGACAGUUCUAGAACUUUGGAAACUUGGAUAAGGACGCUCCUUCUGAGUAUAGUUCUCAUAGCACAAUCCCAAAGACACUGGAACCAACUUCAACUCCCACUGAGCUUAGAACCUACCCUUUACAUUACCCUAGAAAAACAAACACACUCUUUUAUGUAACCCCUCUCCCCAUUCUCCCCCUUCUUUUACAAAUUAUAUGCUAAAAUGCUCCCAACGUACUUAUAAAUAGAUCCAAUAAGACAUCAAUUUCUACACCUUCCAAGAGGGAGGGGAAACAAUCACAGGAAAUGAGGUGAAAACAAAUACUAUUGGCCGGGCGCAGUGGCUCACGCCUGUAAUCCCAGCACUUUGGGAGGCCGAGGCGGACAGAUCACGAGGUCAGGAGAUCGAGACCAUCCUGGCUAACACGGUGAAACCCCAUCUCUACUAAAAAUACAAAAAAAAUUAGCCAGGCGUGGUUGCAGGCGCCUGUAGUCCCGGCUACUCGGGAGGCUGAGGCAGGAGAAUGACAUGAACCCGGGAGGCGGAGCUUGUAGUGAGCCGAUAUUGUGCCACUGCACUUCAGCCGGGGCGACAGAGCGAGACGAGACUCUGCCUCAAAAGAAAACAAAAUAAAAACAAAAACAAACAAACAAAAAACAAACCAAAUGUUAUUAACCAAAUUACUAAAAUAAAGGAAACUUGAACACUAAAGAAUAAAUAAUUUUCACAAGAACAUUCUAAAGCAAAUUGUAGUAUCACUUUAUUUUCAUUAUUGUAGUAACAUUUCUUCAAUGACUUGGUAUCAAUAAAUUGUAUACAAAUAAAAGUCCUGUGUUGGCUUAAUAUUUCAUUUUUCAGCUUUUGUGUUAGGGUCUAUAAACAAGUUUAUUGGUACCUGUGUUUACAGAUGCACCAUAUUUAAAUGUAGUAUAAAGUCUGAUAUAUAUGAGAAUACGAUGGGAUAUGU
rnacentral:lncRNA from 10 species